UACAGAGGUCCCAAGCGUUGUUCGGAUUCACUGGGCGUAAAGGGUGCGCAGGUGGUGGGAUAAGUUUGAUGUGAAAGCUCCGAGCUCAACUCGGAAAUGGCAUUGAAUACUGUCCUGCUCGAGGGUCGGAAGGGAGACUGGAAUUCUCGGUGUAGCAGUGAAAUGCGUAGAUAUCGAGAGGAACACCAGUGGCGAAGGCGAGUCUCUGGACGAUUCCUGACGCUGAGGCACGAAAGCUAGGGGAGCAAACAGG
rnacentral:rRNA from 1 species